AUACGUAGGGUGCAAGCGUUAAUCGGAAUUACUGGGCGUAAAGCGUGCGCAGGCGGUUUUGUAAGACAGAGGGGAAAUCCCCGGGCUCCACCUGGGAACUGCCUUUGUGACUGCAAGGCUAGAGUGCGGCAGAGGGGGAUGGAAUUUCGCGUGUAGCAGUGAAGUGCGUAGAUAUGCGGAGGAACACCGAUGGUGAAGGCAAUCCCCUGGGCCUGUACUGACGCUCAUGCACGAAAGCGUGGGGAGCAAACAGGAUUAGAUACCCUGGUAGUCCACGCCCUGAACGAUGUCAACUGGUUGUUGGGUCUUCAUUGACUCAGUAACGAAGCUAACGCGUGAAGUUGACCGCCUGGGGAGUACGGCCGCAAGGUUGAAACUCAAAUGAAUUGACGG
rnacentral:rRNA from 1 species